rnacentral:rRNA from 1 species
GACGAACGCUGGCGGCGUGCCUAAUACAUGCAAGUAGAACGCUGAAGAGAGGAGCUUGCUCUUCUUGGAUGAGUUGCGAACGGGUGAGUAACGCGUAGGUAACCUGCCUGGUAGCGGGGGAUAACUAUUGGAAACGAUAGCUAAUACCGCAUAAAAUGGAUUAUCGCAUGAUAAUCCAUUGAAAGGUGCAAAUGCAUCACUACCAGAUGGACCUGCGUUGUAUUAGCUAGUUGGUGGGGUAACGGCUCACCAAGGCGACGAUACAUAGCCGACCUGAGAGGGUGAUCGGCCACACUGGGACUGAGACACGGCCCAGACUCCUACGGGAGGCAGCAGUAGGGAAUCUUCGGCAAUGGACGGAAGUCUGACCGAGCAACGCCGCGUGAGUGAAGAAGGUUUUCGGAUCGUAAAGCUCUGUUGUAAGAGAAGAACGAGUGUGAGAGUGGAAAGUUCACACUGUGACGGUAUCUUACCAGAAAGGGACGGCUAACUACGU